GAUGAACGCUGGCGGCGUGCCUAAUACAUGCAAGUCGAGCGAACAGAUGAGGAGCUUGCUCCUCUGACGUUAGCGGCGGACGGGUGAGUAACACGUGGAUAACCUACCUAUAAGACUGGGAUAACUUCGGGAAACCGGAGCUAAUACCGGAUAAUAUAUUGAACCGCAUGGUUCAAUAGUGAAAGACGGUUUUGCUGUCACUUAUAGAUGGAUCCGCGCCGCAUUAGCUAGUUGGUAAGGUAACGGCUUACCAAGGCAACGAUGCGUAGCCGACCUGAGAGGGUGGUAGGCCACACUGGAACUGAGCCACGGUCCAGACUCCUACGGGAGGCAGCAGUAGGGAAUCUUCCGCAAUGGGCGAAAGCUUGACGGAGCAACGCCGCGUGAGUGAUGAAGGUCUUCGGAUCGUAAAACUCUGUUAUUAGGGAAGAACAAAUGUGUAAGUAACUAUGCACGUCUUGACGGUACCUAAUCAGAAAGCCACGGCUAACUACGUG
rnacentral:rRNA from 1 species